rnacentral:lncRNA from 1 species
GCCGGGACUAACAUCAACAUAAGAUCAAAAUCUACACCAUUACAGGAAAGUUAGUAGGAGGUGUCAGAACAUCUUCCUGCUUUGGGAUAUUUGCUUACUCAGUUUGACAGAGAUGAAGAAGAGGUAGGAUGUGAGGCCCAAUACCUCUGAGAUCACUGAGCAAGCGCGUCUUCAGGCAGAGGGCUGGCUUCCACCCCUGGAAUAUCUUUGUCUUGUCAUAACAUUCAUCCAUAUCGAUCUUACCAUGUGAGUUUCUCAUGUUAACAGAGGUGCCUGAGACACUGAACCAAACAUUUGGUUCAUUUCAUCGACGACGUAAAGCGGCACACGUAACUAGGGUAAGCGUGCCUACUUCGUACUUUUUCUUCACCUGCGGGAAGUUCUUUUUGACCAGUGGACUAAAGACCAUCCUGGGUUUUGGAUAGCUUUCUGCAAUGUUGCCCAGUGAGAAUAGAACUGUAUCAGCGAUCUAACUUGGAUGUGUCCUGACAGACAAAAAAGAAGCUGUGCGCGUGUGCAGAAUUUAAACGAAGAGCAGAAACUCUGAAGAAACGGAAGCUGGAGACUUUGCGGAAAUGUUCGAACAUGAUUUUGUCAGCCAAAGAUAGUCUACAGUUGGAAUUCUGGAGACUCUUGAGGAAGUAUAGAAAUGCCAGCGCCCCAAGAGGCACUGGUGACUGCUGCUCCCCUGCUGCCUGCUGCUUUUUGAGAAUUGCUGUUUGAGGAUUGCUCAAUUGCUGGCUGGUUGCUGGGUUGCUGGUGGCUGGUUGGAGAUAUCCUGAGAACGAAGAUUGGACCUGCCCCCAAGGAACUGGAUGCCCCUAAUAAGCAGGAAGUAUCCUAACAAGAUUAAUAUCCCCUUCCCCCUCUAACCUUUUUCUCCUACCUAGUGUUGAGGGGUUGGAAGGGAUGGGGGUGAAGGUAGUCAUGCGGUAGAAGAAAAACAACCCAAUAAGGUAGCUAAAAGUUCAGUUACAGAUAAGAAUUUCAAGUCACCCCCUACUUCAUAUUUAGUUCAAGGACAACCUGGGCUGCAUGGGAGCCCCUGUGUCAAACAAACAAACAAAUAA